rnacentral:rRNA from 1 species
UACGGAGGGGGCUAGCGUUGUUCGGAAUUACUGGGCGUAAAGCGCGCGUAGGCGGCUUUGUAAGUUAGAGGUGAAAGCCCGGAGCUCAACUCCGGAAUUGCCUUUAAGACUGCAUCGCUAGAAUCAUGGAGAGGUGAGUGGAAUUCCGAGUGUAGAGGUGAAAUUCGUAGAUAUUAGGAAGAACACCGGUGGCGAAGGCGGCCCACUGGAUCGGUACUGACGCUGAGGUGCGAAAGCGUGGGGAGCAAACAGG